UACGAGGGGGGCGAGCGUUGUUCGGAAUUAUUGGGCGUAAAGGGUGCGUAGGCGGUCGGGUAAGUCUGAUGUGAAAUCUCACAGCUUAACUGUGAAACUGCAUUGGAUACUAUCCGGCUCGAGGAAUGGAGGGGAGACUGGAAUACUUGGUGUAGCAGUGAAAUGCGUAGAUAUCAAGUGGAACACCAGUGGCGAAGGCGAGUCUCUGGACAUUUCCUGACGCUGAGGCACGAAAGCCAGGGGAGCAAACGGG
rnacentral:rRNA from 1 species